GCUGGAGCGAGAAGAUCUCAUGCUGUGACCCUACAAAGGGAAGCCCUUUCUGUUGUCUAAACGAAAAGAAAGUGCUUCUCUUUGCUGGGUUACGGUUUGAGAAAAGCAACGUUGAAGUCG
rnacentral:precursor_RNA from 8 species